rnacentral:rRNA from 1 species
UACGAAGGGGGCUAGCGUUGCUCGGAAUCACUGGGCGUAAAGCGCACGUAGGCGGAUCUUUAAGUCAGGGGUGAAAUCCCAAGGCUCAACCUUGAACUGCCUUUGAUACUGGGGAUCUCGAGUCCGGAAGAGGUGAGUGGAACUGCGAGUGUAGAGGUGAAAUUCGUAGAUAUUCGCAAGAACACCAGUGGCGAAGGCGGCUCACUGGUCCGGUACUGACGCUGAGGUGCGAAAGCGUGGGGAGCAAACAGG